rnacentral:tRNA from 1 species
AUUCAUAUAGUUUAAACAAAACAUUACACUUUCACUGUAAAAAUAGUAAAUUUUACUUAUAAAUA